UACGUAGGGGGGCAAGCGUUGUCCGGAAUCAUUGGGCGUAAAGCGCGUGUAGGCGGCCAGAAAAGUCCGCUGUGAAAACUCGAGGCUCAACUUCGAGCUGUCGGUGGAAACUUUCUGGCUAGAGUCCGGAAGAGGAGAGUGGAAUUCCUGGUGUAGCGGUGAAAUGCGCAGAUAUCAGGAAGAACACCCGUGGCGAAGGCGGCUUUCUGGGACGGUACUGACGCUGAGACGCGAAAGCGUGGGGAGCGAACAGG
rnacentral:rRNA from 1 species